AAGUCGUAACAAGGUUUCCGUAGGUGAACCUGCGGAAGGAUCAUUAUUGAAAUAAACCUGAUGGGUUGUUGCUGGUUCUCUAGGGAGCAUGUGCACACCUUGUCAUCUUUAUAUCUCCACCUGUGCACUUUUUGUAGACCUUUCAGGUCUAUGUUGCUUCAUUUACCCCCAAUGUAUGUUAAUAGAAUGUUGUGCCUAUGAUAUAAUAUAUACAACUUUCAGCAACGGAUCUCUUGGCUCUC
rnacentral:misc_RNA from 1 species